CCAAGCAUACAUCUGCCCAUGGUUCCUCGCGUGCCGUAGACUCGCGGUGACACAAACGGAGCACCCCCUCUGCCUCUCUCUCCUCACGCCCCACCACCUCGGCGGCUUCUCUUCUUCCUUAACCCCCUUCCCCCACCCCACCUCUCGCUCUCCUUCUGCAAAGACCGCGAAGACGUGUGAAGCCCUGCCCCUGUGCGUGCGCGGCUGUGCGUGCCGCUAUCCAUUCUGCACGACUCCCGUCACGUAGCGCGUGCGUCCGAUAUUUUUCAUCGCGGUUCAUCUCCGUAAACCCAAGCUAACGGGACGUUCCCCCCUCCCUUACCCGCAAAUCGACAUAAGCAGCGCCUGUGCGUGUGCGUGGGCGUCUGUGUCUGUGUGCACUGACGAUAACUACUCUCACACGGACGCAUACACGAGUCGGCAAGGUGCGUGCACCAUCGACCUUCGCGUCAAGGGCACAAGCGACAACGGCUGUUGAGUUGUGGUAGAAUGCCUUCUUCUUCCGUUCAAGACACGUUCGCCUCAGCGCUCGACGGCGAGGGGGCACACGUGGCGCGUCGUGCACGCUCCUCAUCCUCCACGUCUUCCUCUGCGAGAAGCCGCAGUAGCAAACGUGCCAGGAACAGCGGCAUGCGCCGUGCGUCGUCUCCGCCGGCAACCCCCACCAUCGCCGGCGCCACCUCAUCAGCGCUCACAAUAAACGUGAAGAAGAAGAGGAGACACAAGAAGGCACGGCAGGACGAGGAUGCGGCGAGGGAGGCGGCGAGGCUGCCGCCGCAGUUACCGCAACUGUGCCAGCCCCACCUGCUGCACGGCGCCCCUGCCGCGCCAAGUCUUCUGCAGCAGCGAUUCUCUGAGGUGGAACUGCAGUUCCAGCUCGAGCAAGACCGCGCUCAGCGCUCUGCGCUUGCCCCACGCGACAUCGCCAACCUCAUUCUCUGGAGCGUGCCGGCGCCAGUCCCGAUCAUCGAGUCGCCGCGCAUUUUCUUUAUUAAAAACAAGUCGAAGGUGCGCAACACCGUUGUCAUUUAUGUGAAUGGCUGGUCGUAUGACGAGAUGCUCUGCACCGGCGUUGGCCUUCCGCGAGCGCGCGGUGAGGUAGAGCGCGGGGGCGCUCCUCGAGAGCAAGCCGCGCCGUCGCACUCGACGGACGCGAUGGGCAACGCCACCGGUCACGCUGCGGCGAGCGCCGCGCCGGCAGCGAACGCGGCGGGCGAUGGCGAUGGCCCGGCGGCGCACUGGAACACGGCGCUUUGCAGCGCCAUGUUGGGCCCGGUGCGAGAGGGCCGCUGCUGGGCGCGUCCAGGUCGUGGAACGGGCGGUGCUGGCGGUGUGCAGUACUGCCCUCUCUCGAUCCCGAGCACCCGCAACGAGCUGGAAAAGGACCUGUGGUGGCGCAACGACGCGCCGCGCCGACCGGGGCCCUCUUCGGCCGCCUCGUCCUCAGCGUUGAAUCGCUGGCGCCCAAACCGCAGCUGCGGGGGUGAGGACGGGGACAGGGGCGUGGCGGAUCUCCACCUCACGAGUCCUGCCGUCAAGGGUGCCCGUGGCGUCGGCAGCAUGUUCCAGCAGGCAAUGCAGGUACACGCAACGGGCUCGGGUGCCGGCGACGGCGCAGCCUCCGCGGAGAGAUCGCCAAAGGCCGCGUCGGCACCGGCAGCGGACUCGCCCAUCAUCGCAUCGGACGCCUUCCAGCAGCAUCAGCACCUCUGGCAGAAUCGGACCCUUCUUCAGCGGUACGCCUUGCACCUCCCGGAGCACACGGUCGAGAUGCAGGAGUUGGGCUUCACUGUUUCGCCUCCGCAAGAGUCGACGGCCGCCGUGCGCGCAGAUGGCGGCAGCGCGGAGGAAGACGACAAGGAAACGGCUCUGCCGAAGGGAAACGAGGAGAGAGGGGAGCAGGAUGUCUGGGUGAGCUUCGCAGCGCCUUCCACGACGGCAACGGCAGACGGCACCGCAUCGGCAACGCCAUCGGUGAAGGUUGUCGCGCUUGACUGCGAGAUGGUGGAGGUCGAGGGCGGUGAGAGUGCGCUAGCUCGAGCGACGCUGAUCGAUGUGCUGACCGGCAACGUUGUGCUGGACCUGCUCGUCAAGCCACGUCAACGCAUUACAGACUACCGGACUCGCUUCAGCGGCAUUGACGCGGCGACGCUCGCGCCCGUGUCUACCACCCUCGCGGACUGUCAGCACGCACUACAGCGCAUUGUCGACUCACAGACCUUCGUGGUCGGUCACAGCCUUGAGAACGACUUCAAGGCAUGCAAAUGCAUCCCUAACUGCUACGUGCUCGACACAACGUGGUUGUUCCCGCAUCCGGCGGGACUGCCCUACAAGAACGCCUUACGCUUUCUCGCCCAGCGUUACCUUCAGCGGCGCAUACAGCACGGCUCGCACGACAGUGCCAUUGAUGCCUUGGUAAGCGCUGAGUUGACGCAGCUGAAGCUCAUCAACGGCCCGUCUUUCGGCAUGCGAGCGCGGGUGAGCGUCUUGGGCCUCAUCACCGAAGCGGCUGGCAGCGCCGCCGAUGGUGUGCGCGCGGGGGAGGGGCCAGAAAAGACGACAGAGGCGGGAUUCGAUGUUCAGCUUCAUCUAUUCGACGAUGCCGUGACGCUGGCCUCCCUCCUCCCCGCCCCGCAGAAGUACGACGCCGCCUCUGCGACUCAGGCCGGGGCGAGCGGUGGCACGGUGUCAGGUGCGCCUCGAUCGUCCUCAGCAAGCUCAGCUCGUAUUGAUGCCGUCCCCGUGCGCCAUGACGAGGACGGGAUGCGCAAAGCCGUCCGUGCGCUGCAGCGCCGCGCGAGUCAGCAGGCCCGUGAAGCCGCAGUCGCUGCCAACGACACGGAUGGCGAGACGGCCACGACACAGAGGCCGAACUUCUCUCUGUUCUGGGUUCAGCUGGCCCAGGCGAAGGUGGAUGUCGUUCUGCCGCCCGCACAGCCACCCACGGCCUCUGCUGCGGUGGCAGCGGAAGAGGAGAGCGAGACCGCCGAGAGAGCGGCGUACGCUGGGCACGGCGGCAGCCGUGACACGGGCUCUGCGCACACGGUAGCGCAGUUCCGCAGGGUGCAUGACACGAACCGACGUGUGCUGCGCAUCAUCGAAGCCUGCCCGGAUGAGACACUCAUCGUCGUGCUGACGGGCCGCUGCGAUGGGGAGGCCGGAGGAAACCACUUCUCGCGAGCGCAGGGCACAUGCUUUGCAUUCGUGAAGGACAGCAGUGCACCUGGUCCGCGCCCGGAGGAGCUGACCAAGCUGACCGACGGGAGCAGCGUGAGCGCGCUGGCGACGGCUGCGGUGCCGCAUUCUCUUGAUAGGGAGGCUGCCAUGGUGGUGCACACACCUCUCGCCUGCCAGCAGCAGUAAGCCGCCGCCUUCUGAGGAAGACCAGCGUUUCGUGCGCGUGUGCGUGUGAGGGGGCAUCCGAAGCGCUCUGUGGAGCGUAUCCCCCUGUCUCGCUCCCCCCGUGUCCGCCACCCUCUCUUUUUGUUUUCUACCUCGUGAGGCGUGCGACGGCUUAUCUUCUCCCUCAGCGAGGUGGUGAGGGCGCACGUCUGCACCCGAGAACAUACUCAU
rnacentral:misc_RNA from 1 species